rnacentral:sRNA from 1 species
GUCAACUACCCACCCCUAAAGGGGAUGGGCUUGUAAAAGCCCUCGUUGACCAGACCGCCAAACUGUAAAAUUGGCAGACGAUAUUUUUGAUACAGAAACCGUAGGAUGCCGCCUCAGUCUUACGCUCU